UGGAAAUAAAUAAUAGUCACUGGAGCCAA
rnacentral:sRNA from 1 species